rnacentral:rRNA from 1 species
GCUUGUCUCAAAGAUUAAGCCAUGCAUGUGUAAGCACACACUGUUUUAAAAGUGAAGCCGCGAAUGGCUCAUUACAACAGCCACAGUUUAUUAGAACUUACAAUCAUGGAUAACUGUGGUAAUUCUAGAGCUAAUACACGCACAAAAACUUCAACUGAAUUGGUUGAAGUGCUUUUAUUAGAACAAAAACCGAACGGCGUUUGACGAAUGUUGAACGUCGAAACUGUUUGGUGAAUCUGAAUAACUAUUUCUGAUCGCAUGGUCUAGCACCGGCGACAUCACUUUCAAGUGUCUGCCUUAUCAACCUUCGAUGGUAGUCUAUGCGACUACCAUGGUGAUAACGGGUAACGGAGAAUCAGGGUUCGACUCCGGAGAGGGAGCCUGAGAAACGGCUACCACAUCCAAGGAAGGCAGCAGGCGCGCAAAUUACCCACUCCCAGCUUGGGGAGGUAGUGACGAAAAAUAACGAGACGAUUCUCGUUUGAGAAACGUUAUCGAAAUGAGUACGCUUUACACACGCUAACGAGUAGCAAUUGGAGGGCAAGUCUGGUGCCAGCAGCCGCGGUAAUUCCAGCUCCAAUAGCGUAUAUUAAAGUUGCUGCGGUUAAAACGCUCGUAGUUGAAUUGUGGUCUUAGACAACAGUCCCCCUACAAAGGUGUGGCACGGUUGCUCGAGAUCUUCAUUCGUGGUUGCUGUUGUUGCUCUUCAUUGAGUGUCAAUGGUGCCUCGAGAUUUUACUUUGAAAAAAUUAGAGUGCUCAAAGCAGGUUGUGAUGCCUGAAUAAUGGUGCAUGGAAUAAUAGAAUACGAUCUCGGUUCUAUUUUGUUGGUUUUCGAACCGGAGAUAAUGAUUGAAAGGAACAGACGGGGGCAUUCGUAUUGCUGCGUUAGAGGUGAAUUCUUGGAUCGCAGCAAGAUGAACAAUUGCGAAAGCAUUUGCCAAGAAUGUUUUCAUUAAUCAAGAACGAAAGUUAGAGGUUCGAAGGCGAUCAGAUACCGCCCUAGUUCUAACGGUAAACUAUGCCAACCAGCGAUUCGCCGAAGUUCAUUUAAGACUCGGCGAGCAGCUUCCGGGAAACCAAAGUGUUUCGGUUCCGGGGGAAGUAUGGUUGCAAAGCUGAAACUUAAAGGAAUUGACGGAAGGGCACCACCAGGAGUGGAGCCUGCGGCUUAAUUUGACUCAACACGGGAAAACUCACCCGGCCCGGACACUGGAAGGAUUGACAGAUUGACAGCUCUUUCUUGAUUCAGUGGGUAGUGGUGCAUGGCCGUUCUUAGUUGGUGGAGCGAUUUGUCUGGUUAAUUCCGAUAACGAACGAGACUCUACCCUAUUAAAUAGUGACAGUAUUGUAUUUUUUGUGCUGAUCACUUCUUAGAGGGACUGGCAAAUUGAAAGCUGCACGAAAAAGAGCAAUAACAGGUCUGUGAUGCCCUUCGAUGUCCGGGGCUGCACGCGCGCUACAAUGAAAGCGUCAACGUGAGUUACGUCCUUACCUGAAAAGGUUUGGCAAUCGAAUGAAACGUUUUCUUGAAUGGAAUAGGGAAUUGCAAUUGUUUCCCUUGAACGAGGAAUUCCCAGUAAGCGUGAGUCAUUAGCUCGCGUUGAUUACGUCCCUGCCCUUUGUACACACCGCCCGUCGCUACUACCGAUUGGAUGAUUUAGUGAGGUGUUUUGACUGGCGCCAGUAGUCGGAUAUGUAUUCGGCUUCGCGCCGGGAAAUUUCCCAAACCAAAUCAUCUAGAGGAAGUAAAAGUCGUAACAAGGUUUCCGUAGGUG